AUUGAACGCUGGCGGCAUGCUUUACACAUGCAAGUCGAACGGCAGCACGGGGGCAACCCUGGUGGCGAGUGGCGAACGGGUGAGUAAUAUAUCGGAACAUGUCCGGAAGUGGGGGAUAACGUAGCGAAAGUUACGCUAAUACCGCAUAUGCCCUGAGGGGGAAAGGGGGGGAUCGCAAGACCUCUCGCUUUCGGAGUGGCCGAUAUCAGAUUAGCUAGUUGGUGGGGUAAAGGCCUACCAAGGCAACGAUCUGUAGCUGGUCUGAGAGGACGACCAGCCACACGGGGAAUGAGACACGGCCCAGACUCCUACGGGAGGCAGCAGUGGGGAAUUUUGGACAAUGGGGGCAACCCUGAUCCAGCCAUGCCGCGUGAGUGAAGAAGGCCUUCGGGUUGUAAAGCUCUUUCGGACAGAAAGAAAUCGUGCAGAAUAAUACUCUGUAUGGAUGACGGUACUGUAAGAAGAAGCACCGGCUAACUACGUGCCAGCCGCCGCGGUAA
rnacentral:rRNA from 1 species